rnacentral:rRNA from 1 species
CCAUUGAAACUGUCAGUCUUGAGUACAAAUGNGGUAGGCGGAAUGUGUUGUGUAGCGGUGAAAUGCAUAGAUAUGACACAGAACACCAAUUGCGAAGGCAGCUUACUGGGAUGUAACUGACGCUGAGGCACGAAAGCGUGGGGAUCAAACAGGAUUAGAUACCCUGGUAGUCCACGCAGUAAACGAUGAUUACUAGCUGUUAGCGAUAGAAUGUUAGUGGCUAAGCGAAAGCGAUAAGUAAUCCACCUGGGGAGUACGACCGCAAGGUUGAAACUCAAAGGAAUUGACGGGGGCCCGCACAAGCGGAGGAACAUGUGGUUUAAUUCGAUGAUACGCGAGGAACCUUACCCGGGCUUGAAAUGCAGAGGAAUGACGAGGAAACUUGUCCGCCAGCAAUGGUCUCUGUGUAGGUGCUGCAUGGUUGUCGUCAGCUCGUGCCGUGAGGUGUCGGCUUAAGUGCCAUAACGAGCGCAACCCUUAUUGAUAGUUACUAACAGGUUAAGCUGAGGACUCUAUUGAGACUGCCACCGUAAGGUGAGAGGAAGGUGGGGAUGACGUCAAAUCAGCACGGCCCUUACGUCCGGGGCGACACACGUGUUACAAUGGGGGGUACAGAGGGGAGCUACUUAGCGAUAAGAUGCGAAUCUCGAAAGCCUCUCGUAGUUCGGAUCGGAGUCUGCAACUCGACUCCGUGAAGCUGGAUUCGCUAGUAAUCGCGCAUCAGCCAUGGCGCGGUGAAUACGUUCCCGGGCCUUGUACACACCGCCCGUCAAGCCAUGGGAGUUGGGGGUGCCUAAAGAUUGUGACCGUAAGGAGCGAUUUAGGGCAAAACCAGCGACUGGGGCUAAGUCGUAACAAGGUAGCCG